rnacentral:rRNA from 1 species
UCAAGUCCGCUUUUCGCCAGCGCGCAAGCGCCGGCACUUUAAACCCCCCAACCACCACUAUGCGCAACUCGUUGUGCGCGGCCCCACGGCUGCGCCACACGAACAAAGCCAUACAACUUCUAACAACGGAUAUCUUGGCUCGCGCAACGAUGAAGAACGCAGCGAAAUGCGAUACGUAGUGCGAAUUGCAGAAUUCAGUGAAUCAUCGAGACUUUGAACGCAUAUUGCGCCUCCAGGUCCUCCUGGAAGCAUGUCUGUUUGAGUGUCAGCACACCAUCUCACCCCGUCCCUGCGGCGGUCGGUGGAGCUUGGGUGUCUCGGAUUCCGGUCCGAGUCGCCUUAAGUGCAGAGGCGCGGCGCGCAGAGCCCGUUUAACGUCCAACGUGUUAAGGUCCCUUGUGGGCUGUCAAUCCGUUGUGACUAGGGCAUUGCGGUCGGCGGCGCCGAACUGUGCCGCCUUCGGGCGACAACCUUUACACUAUUGACCUCAAAUCAGGCAAGGCUACCCGCUGAAUUUAAGCAUAUCAAUAGCGGAGGAA